rnacentral:rRNA from 1 species
UUACACAAAUAUGAAGGCGGGCUGGAACCUCUCGGGGUUACAGCCUUGCUGAAUUAUUCACCCUUGUCUUUUGCGUACUUCUUGUUUCCUUGGUGGGUUCGCCCACCACUAGGACAAACAUAAACCUUUUGUAAUUGCAAUCAGCGUCAGUAACAAAUUAAUAAUUACAACUUUCAACAACGGAUCUCUUGGUUCUGGCAUCGAUGAAGAACGCAGCGAAAUGCGAUAAGUAGUGUGAAUUGCAGAAUUCAGUGAAUCAUCGAAUCUUUGAACGCACAUUGCGCCCUUUGGUAUUCCAAAGGGCAUGCCUGUUCGAGCGUCAUUUGUACCCUCAAGCUUUGCUUGGUGUUGGGCGUCUUGUCUCUAGCUUUGCUGGAGACUCGCCUUAAAGUAAUUGGCAGCCGGCCUACUGGUUUCGGAGCGCAGCACAAGUCGCACUCUCUAUCAGCAAAGGUCUAGCAUCCAUUAAGCCUUUUUUUCAACUUUUGACCUCGGAUCAGGUAGGGAUACCCGCUGAACUUAAGCAUAU